GAAAUGCGAUAAGUAAUGUGAAUUGCAGAAUUCAGUGAAUCAUCGAAUCUUUGAACGCACAUUGCGCCUAUUAGUAUUCUAGUAGGCAUGCUUGUUCGAGCGUCAUUUCAACCCUCAAGCCCUGGUUGCUUGGUGUUGGGAGCUUGCUGUGAAACGCAACUCCUCAAAGCUAGCUGGCAGAGUCGGGAUGCACUCUAAGCGUAGUAAACUUGAUAGUCUCGCUUCUGCAGUUGUCCCGGCCGUCUUGCCAUAAAAGCCCAAACUUUUUUGUUUUCUAUGGUUGACCUCGGAUCAGGUAGGAAUACCCACUGAACUUAAGC
rnacentral:misc_RNA from 1 species